rnacentral:tRNA from 1 species
GGGUGUGUAGCUCGGUGGUAAAGCACUUGUCUAGCGUGCAUAAGGCCCUGGGUUCAAUUCCCAGUACUACGA